UGUUUCUUGACUCUGGAUGGACCCCACUAAGGUGACUGUCUCAGCCACACAGCAGUGUAAACUAGGAAGGGGCAGAUUAAGUUUGCUGGGUCAUAAGGAACCCAGAAGCUAGUGAGUGCGUCUUUCCAGAAGUGGACUUGAAACACAUGCCCAGCUGCCACCCCGAAACCCUUAGGCAGGUGGGAUGUUCCCGUCUAAGGUUUUAGAGAGAAGGGUGUGAGCUGUCUGAGACAGCUUCCAUGCCUCUUUUCUGUAAGUAAACAUCCCAAAGGUUUCUGGAAACAGCACCUGGUUAUGGCCUCGCCCCUCUCAUCACCUGAGUCAACCGCUUUAGCUCCACCAGCUUCGGUAGGCAUUAGGCUUGGAAGCUCACUCCAGAGAGGCUUCUAGCUCCUGGGCUCCCUCCCCCAAGUCCCCAUCAAAGGUGGCCAGAGCAGUCCAACCUCAUUCUGACGCAUGAAUGACAUGAACAAGCUUCUCCAUUUAUCAGCCAGGAUUCUUCCCUCACAGACGAGAACUAAUGACAACAAAUGCAGAAUAAACUGAGAUUCAAAACUGGCUCUUUUGUUGGCUUCCCCUGGUACAAGAAACCCCUUGUGGGUGGCAAGCUCUGCUGGUUAUGAUAACCAGAGCCAUUUGCACACAGAGGUUUGCUAAAGACACCAAGUUCUCCUCUCCUUUAUUUAGAAGUCUUUCUUGGCUGAGAGAUGCUCCCCCUCCCCCUUUGCACUUACCCAGGAUGUUAAUUAAUUGUAUCAUCAUUUAAAAAAUUAUGUUGUUAAUUACUGCUUUGUGUCUUCCCACCCCUGUCACAGCCUGGAGUUUUUAUUCAAUUAAAUCUCUGUCUCUUGCCC
rnacentral:lncRNA from 1 species